CAUGUCUAAGUAUAAGCAAUUAUACAGCGAAACUGCGAAUGGCUCAUUAUAUAAGUUAUCGUUUAUUUGAUAAUACCUUACUACUUGGAUAACCGUGGUAAUUCUAGAGCUAAUACAUGCUAAAAAUCCCGACUUCGGAAGGGUUGUAUUUAUUAGAUUAAAAACCAAUGCCCUCUGGGCUCUCUGGUGAAUCAUGAUAACUAGUCGAAUCGACAGGCCUUGUGCCGGCGAUGGCUCAUUCAAAUUUCUUCCCUAUCAACUUUCGAUGUUUGGGUAUUGGCCAAACAUGGUGGCAACGGGUAACGGAGGGUUAGGGCUCGACCCCGGAGAAGGAGCCUGAGAAACGGCUACUACAUCCAAGGAAGGCAGCAGGCGCGCAAAUUACCCAAUCCCGACACGGGGAGGUAGUGACAAUAAAUACUGAUACAGGGCUCUUUUGGGUCUUGUAAUCGGAAUGAGUACAAUUUAAAUCCCUUAACGAGGAACAAUUGGAGGGCAAGUCUGGUGCCAGCAGCCGCGGUAAUUCCAGCUCCAAUAGCGUAUAUUAAAGUUGUUGUGGUUAAAAAGCUCGUAGUUGAACCUUGGGCCUGGCUGGCCGGUCCGCCUCACCGCGUGUACUGGUCCGGCCGGGCCUUUCCCUCUGUGGAACCCCAUGCCCUUCACUGGGUGUGGCGGGGAAACAGGACUUUUACUUUGAAAAAAUUAGAGUGCUCAAGGCAGGCCUAUGCUCGAAUACAUUAGCAUGGAAUAAUAAAAUAGGACGUGCGGUUCUAUUUUGUUGGUUUCUAGGACCGCCGUAAUGAUUAAUAGGGACAGUCGGGGGCAUCAGUAUUCAAUUGUCAGAGGUGAAAUUCUUGGAUUUAUUGAAGACUAACUACUGCGAAAGCAUUUGCCAAGGAUGUUUUCAUUAAUCAGGAACGAAAGUUAGGGGAUCGAAGACGAUCAGAUACCGUCGUAGUCUUAACCAUAAACUAUGCCGACUAGGGAUCGGACGAUGUUACAUUUUUGACGCGUUCGGCACCUUACGAGAAAUCAAAGUGCUUGGGCUCCAGGGGGAGUAUGGUCGCAAGGCUGAAACUUAAAGAAA
rnacentral:rRNA from 1 species